GUUCAACGGCCGCGGUAUACUGACCGUGCAAAGGUAGCGCAAUCACUUGUUUCGUAAAUUGAAACCCGUAUGAACGGCAUAACGAAGGCUUAACUGUCUCCCCUUUCAGGUCAGUGAAAUUGAUCUGCCCGUGAAGAAGCGGACAUGAACAUACAAGACGAGAAGACCCUUUGGAGCUUAAGACCUAAACCAACUGUAUAAUAGACUAACUAAAUUAGAUUAACCAAACCUUAUACUGGGCCACGUCUUCGGUUGGGGCGACCACGGAGAAAAACAAAGCCUCCGCGCAGAAAGGGAAAAAAUUCCCUCAGCCAAGAGAGACAUCUCUAAGCCACAGAAUAUUUGACUAAAAGACCCGGGCCAACGCCCGAUUAACGAACCAAGUUACCCUAGGGAUAACAGCGCAAUCCUCUUCUAGAGCCCUUAUCAACAAGAGGGUUUACGACCUCGAUGUUGGAUCAGGACGUCCUAAUGGUG
rnacentral:rRNA from 1 species